AUACACGCUGUUAGCUGAGCAAAAGAGAGAUUUUCUUUUGUUACUGUACAAAUUAUUUAAGCCAAAAUAAAAGCACUAGAGUAAUAAAGACGAUAAAGCAAGCAUUCUAUCUGAAUCAAAAGGACAUAAAAAUGUAUUAUCAAGAUCGUUGAUCAAGUAUCGAACCAAUUGUUAGUUAAUGCCUAAAUAUUCGGUCCAUGAAUUGCAGACUGCUCGACAUUGCUAUCCUUUUGAUUCAAUACUUGAUCAAGUCUUGAUAUAUUUUUAUGUCCUUUAGAUUCAGAGAUCUAAAAUAUAGCUCUCUGAAUCAAAAGGACGUGAAAAGUGGGGUUCACUAAAUUGAUUAGAGAGAAGCAAAGAACUAAAAUAUAGCCAGAGACUUGUUCAAAGUAAUGAAAAGACUUUUCCAAGUCUUUGGCAUCAAGUAUUCCAUAUCCUAUGACUGCACAGCAAUUUAAUUGCCAGAAUUUAGAUGCUAAAAAAAGCACAAACAGAACUAAAACGAUGAUGUUCCACCCUUUAUACUUGUUCUUCUUCAUCUGUCUUAAAGAUGGUAAUCGAGAGAGACAUAAUAAGAUUGGUCAGCGCUGACUUAUGUAAAUGAUCCACCGCCGCGGAAGAAGAAAAACGGCGCUGUUGUAACUUACAGUGUGGUGGGGAGUGUUAUCGGCGUGGUUGUGGUGGUUGCAGCCGUGACUUUCUUGAUUCUACGGCGGCGGCAGCGGAAGUCAACUAGGGGAUCCCUGCGUUGUGAUACCUGCAGAUACUUGUCAAUCGGCUAGAUCACCCGCAACUUCGGCGACAGCUUCAUCAUCGGCAGGGGAGGCUUCGGCAACGUCUACAAAGGCCUCAUCGACAACGCGGCAACAACAGUAGCAAUCAAAAGGCUCAACUCCACCUCCAACCAAGGCGCUCACGAGUUACUUACCGAGAUCGACAUGCUCUUCAAGCUUCGCCACCUCCACUUGGUCUCCCUCAUAGGCUACUGCGACGACAACGGCGAGAUGAUCCUGGUACACGACUACAUGGCCCAUGGCACCCUCCAUGACCACAUCUGCAACUCCAUCAACUCACCCUUAAUGUGGAAGCAAUGCCUUCAAAUCUGCCUAGGCGCUGCCAAGGGACUGGACUACCUCCACACUGGCACCAAACACGCCAUCAUCCACCGCGACGUUAAGUCCACCAACAUCCUACUUGACGGGAAAUGGGUGGCGAAAAUAUCAGAUUUUGGACUGUCAUUACAAUAUCCAGCACAAGAAGUUGAAAAAGAUGGAAAUGCUGCUUUUUUGCUCAUCUCUGUAUGUUCACAAUGUGAAAUUGAAUUAGAAAUUUCGUUGUAUCUUCCACUUGACUUGAAACUAAGGAAUUGUAUUCCGUGUUCAACAAUCGCUUUGCAAUAAAACAAGUUAAUAAAAA